CAGCCGCCGCGGUAAUACGAAGGGGGCUAGCGUUGUUCGGAUUUACUGGGCGUAAAGGGCGCGUAGGCGGACUGAUAAGUCAGGGGUGAAAUCCCAAGGCUCAACCUUGGAACUGCCUUUGAUACUGUUUGUCUUGAGUUCGAGAGGGGUAAGUGGAACUGCGAGUGUAGAGGUGAAAUUCGUAGAUAUUCGCAAGAACACCAGUGGCGAAGGCGGCUUACUGGCUCGAAACUGACGCUGAGGCGCGAAAGCGUGGGGAGCAAACAGGAUUAGAUACCCCUGUAGUCCCUGUCUCUUAUAC
rnacentral:rRNA from 1 species